UGGUGCAGAUAUGUACAAUGGGUUGGUGGAAAGAAGACAAGCCUGUGAGAGAUGCCACGUGGUGAUGCAUUUGAGGAAGUGGACCCAUCUAGAUCUUGACAAAGGGUUCUGAAAACCUCCUUGACUCUUCACUUUCAACAUCUGGCAUGAACAGUCCAAACCACUCAGUGCUUCUACUGCAGAUACUUUUGGCAAAUGAAGGCUGAGUUCCUGUUUUGAUUUUCAGGACUGACUAAAUGACAAGAAGGAGCAAGUUGUACUGAUCAUGGCCUCCUACCUACUGGUCUGCAAAUGGGGCUACACCAUGCUGAGCUGCUUCUGAGCACAGCAAUUCUACUGAUGCUGACCACCAUUG